rnacentral:rRNA from 1 species
GAUGAACGCUGGCGGCGUGCCUAAUACAUGCAAGUCGAGCGAACAGACGAGGAGCUUGCUCCUCUGACGUUAGCGGCGGACGGGUGAGUAACACGUGGAUAACCUACCUAUAAGACUGGGAUAACUUCGGGAAACCGGAGCUAAUACCGGAUAAUAUAUUGAACCGCAUGGUUCAAUAGUGAAAGACGGUUUUGCUGUCACUUAUAGAUGGAUCCGCGCCGCAUUAGCUAGUUGGUAAGGUAACUGCUUACCAAGGCAACGAUGCGUAGCCGACCUGAGAGGGUGAUCGGCCACACUGGAACUGAGCCACGGUCCAGACUCCUACGGGAGGCAGCAGUAGGGAAUCUUCCGCAAUGGGCGAAAGCCUGACGGAGCAACGCCGCGUGAGUGAUGAAGGUCUUCGGAUCGUAAAACUCUGUUAUUAGGGAAGAACAAAUGUGUAAGUAACUAUGCACGUCUUGACGGUACCUAAUCAGAAAGCCACGGCUAACUACGUG